rnacentral:rRNA from 1 species
UACGUAGGGUGCGAGCGUUAAUCGGAAUUACUGGGCGUAAAGCGUGCGCAGGCGGUUUUGUAAGCCAGAUGUGAAAUCCCCGGGCUUAACCUGGGAAUGGCAUUUGGGACUGCAAGGCUUGAGUGCGGCAGAGGGGGGUGGAAUUCCACGUGUAGCAGUGAAAUGCGUAGAGAUGUGGAGGAACACCGAUGGCGAAGGCAGCCCCCUGGGUCGACACUGACGCUCAUGCACGAAAGCGUGGGGAGCAAACAGG